UGCGGGGUGGAGCAGAGGUAGCUCGCCAGGCUCAUAACCUGGAGGUCGUAGGUUCGAAUCCUACCCCCGCUA
rnacentral:tRNA from 1 species